AGUGAACGCUGGCGGUAGGCCUAACACAUGCAAGUCGAACGGCAGCACAGUAAGAGCUUGCUCUGACGGGUGGCGAGUGGCGGACGGGUGAGGAAUACAUCGGAAUCUACUUUUUCGUGGGGGAUAACGGAGGGAAACUUACGCUAAUACCGCAUACGACCUACGGGUGAAAGCAGGGGAUCUUCGGACCUUGCGCGAUUGAAUGAGCCGAUGUCGGAUUAGCUAGUUGGCGGGGUAAAGGCCCACCAAGGCGACGAUCCGUAGCUGGUCUGAGAGGAUGAUCAGCCACACUGGGACUGAGACACGGUCCAGACUCCUACGGGAGGCAGCAGUGGGGAAUAUUGGACAAUGGGCGCAAGCCUGAUCCAGCCAUACCGCGUGGGUGAAGAAGGCCUUCGGGUUGUAAAGCCCUUUUGUUGGGAAAGAAAAGCAGCAGGUUAAUACCCCGCUGUUCUGACGGUACCCAAAGAAUAAGCACCGGCUAACUUCGUG
rnacentral:rRNA from 1 species